rfam:Bombyx mori DNA, contig: Bm_scaf135_contig39370, strain: p50T/Dazao, build 2, whole genome shotgun sequence.
UUAACUCAAAUUUGUAUGGAAUUGAAAUGUUUGCGAACGUUUGCCGCUAGGGGCGCUGUUACAAUUGCAUACAAAUUUGAGUUA